GCUAUCGGGGAAGCAGCGGCUGGGCCCGCAGCCGUUCCCGGAGCUGUGCCACGGGUGCCAGGAGGUGGGCGCCCGCCGAAGGAGGAAUUGCCCAGUCACGCCCUCGUGACCAGUGGUGCCUGCAUUCAGCCCUUCCCCGCGCCCCAAGUGUGAAAGUGGAAGGAUGAACCCAGUGGGGUGCGACACUGACAGGAGAAGGCAUUGAGCGGUCCUAGGAAAGUGACCAGGCUGGUGUCCCAGGAUGGUCCACACCUGGCACCUCUCCAGUCCUCUCAUGCCCUCCCUUUACACCGAGCUUCCACACUGCAGUCAGGUGGGCCUCCCUUUUCCCUUUGAGGAUGCAGAUUUCCUCAUCCUUUCCAGAGAGGGGUUGUAUGUCUGUUUAUCUCUUGCCACUUAACCUCAGCGGCUUCAAAUAAUAAAAAUCAUUCUAUUAUUAUGUGCUGCA
rnacentral:lncRNA from 1 species